UGUGGCACAGGCCUGAGGUCUACGGACCGAUAGGCAAUUUUUAGAUUGGGUAUAUUUGGACUUAUCGUCUGGUUGACGCAUAUGACUAUAGUAGCGGUUGUUGCAUGCAUACUUACAGUUCUUUCUUUACAGUUGUCUUGCUACUAUAGUGGAUAUCCAUGUAUGCAUUCAGUUCUUCCUUACAGUAGCGGUAGUUGUUCUUAUACAUCUUGUUCAUGUAUUAUUGUUGCUAUUGUAUUUAGUAUAUAUCACGCCCCGAGCCCGCUACCAAUUUGGUCCGGUUCGGGCGGGUCGAACAGACGCCGGACGGACAGCACCUCCCCUGUCCACCCAAGGCUAAACAACGCGACUGUGUACAACAAGUGCCCAGGAAAACAAGUUGAAUACAUACACAAUCGAGCAACACAGCGAGAGCACAACCAGUGCUACACAAUCGAGAGUAAGCAUCACAAGUAAUAAACAAGUGAAUAAAAGAGAGAUACUAACUAUUACAACCAUUCAACUUUAAUAUAUUUGGUUAACUUUACAUUUUCCAAAACAUAAACAUAAAGUUUACAAUUUUUCAACUCAGCUCACCCUAUACAUCAUCUACUCUUAAGUACAUAAGGCAGCUCUAAUACAAAAGGAAAGUAAACUAUCAACACUAGGCCGCUAAGCCCUAGCCACGAUCCUCAGCUGACGCACUGGCACGCGGCCCUGCAACAAAGUGGGGUGAGAACUACGAAUAGUUCCCAAUGGGUUCGGCCGCCGACUCCGCUGAUCUCCCCACUAGGUCUAAGCAGGCAUAGGAAGACAACCAGAUAGAUAGGUAGAUAGCUAUAGAUGAAACAACAACUAUAACAAGUAAGUAGAAAUGCAAAUAUCCUACUAUACCUCAAUCCAAUGCUAUGAAUGCAUGCACUACAUAGUAUAAGGCUAGCUACCACGCUACUAUGUCCAACAACGAUGCCACUCUCUACGGGGAGGAUCCGCUCACUCGCCCGACUCACAAUCUAACCGUAGCUGAGGAACCGCUCACUCAAGGUGAGAAUCUACUCACUCACCCGACUCACAACACAAUCAUAGGUGAGGAACCGCUCACUCAAGGUGGGAAUCUAUUCACUCACCCAAAAUUGUCUGCGGGGCCCAAAAAGGCUCACCCCUCGGGACCUAAAAAGGCUAUCCCUAUCGUGUGACAACUCCGGAGUGCACGCUUGUGUGGAGCGACCACCCCAAGCUUUGAACGGACAUGUGAAUAUGAUCAAAUCCUCGACACUAAGGAUACCCUGCCACUAUAGACAACAUCACUUGGAAACUAGUUCAUCCCUAAGUUCAACAUGCAAUAGUGUUUCACCUACACUCUAGUUCAUCAUGCCACUCGUCAAGUUAUUUACUUAUCUAGAUGCCACUCGUUCUUUGGUUCUCGUUAACACAAGGUUAAGUUUGUCAUUUACUUUACCACUAUAGGGUUCCAGGUCACAAUUCCCCCAUUCUCACGCAUCCUAAGUCAAGUGCCAAACUCAUGUUGCUACACUACUAAGGAUCAUGCAAGAAUUAAUGGAAAUGCGACUAUUUAAUACCCUAUUAUGCAUAAUAGUUACACUAGUCCAAUGCCACUCGUUCUUUGUGUUCAACACUAACUAGAUGACACUCGUUCUUAUUUAAGUGUUCCCAAUCCACUACUUGUACAUAAUCACUAGGUUAUCAUUUACCUAGGUUCCAGUCCAUUGUGUAUCAUCUCAUUAUAGGGUUACUAAUCAACAUCUCUCAAUCCCAUGCACACUAGGCUCAAGUGUUAAGCAAACAACAUCACACUACCCCUAGCAUACAAGAACAUGUAUCAACUAAUCAUGCACCAUAUAAUGCAUCAUGCACAAUAUGCAAUUCGAUCAGCAAUAAUACUUAGACAUAGGGAGCAGUUCAACUGCUUCGGGAUGGUCACCACCCACCUUCUAUAGCGUUCCGAUUGCUCGUCGCCACUCACAAUCGGUCUCCCGCGGCGCACGCCGCUCGGCUCGACCCAAUCCACGCGCGUCCACCAAACGACCUCCAAUCGCGAUCCGAAAAUUAAAGGUCUUCGGUUUCUCGUUACGAUACUCGGAAUUUGAUCCCGCGAUUUACGGACGCCGCCUCGGCCCUCCAGGCGGAAACGAAUGUUGGAAGGUCCUUUUUUCCAAUAACUCCACGCUCGCUCGGCGAAUCAGCAAACCGACUGCGCCGAUGGAAUCGUAAGCUUAACAAUCACAUUUACAUAGGGUUAAUCGAGAUCAAACUCUAACUUUUCACAAAAACCCUCACGGAGCCCUAGCUCGCAACUACGGCGCAAACGUGCCGCAAUAACCCUAGAUUCAAGCAUGGAACAUCUACUAGACAUACUAGAGUUCCAACAAAACCAUUUCUAGAGUCUAAAAUCCAAACCUUAGAGAUAUAUCAUUAAAGGGUUUUGGAGCUUACCUCUAAAGCUUUCUCCAAGCUUGAAGAAGGAGAAGAAGAUGCCCUCCUUGUUCUAAGCUUCAACCUCCACCAAGCCUUCUCUCAUUUUCCACCUUGAAGAGAGAGAGAGAGAGCUCUAGAGAGAGAGAGAGAGAGAGAAGUUUAGGGUUUUGGCAAAUGAGAGAAUAAGAGAGAGGAGUAGCCCCCAAGCAACUCUUAUAAUGCAAAAUUACAGAAAAACCCCUCAACUCUCAACACAUCACACAGCCCAUUUCUGGGCAUUUUCGUGGUACGGGGUCCAGACCCUGAAGCUAGGGUUCGGACCCCGAGAGUUGGCAAACUCUGCAAAGUUGCAGACUGCAACUUCUCAGUUUUUUCGUAGCUACGGGGUCCGGACCCUGCCUGCAGCUAGGGUCCGGACCCCGAGAGUGGUAAAACCUGCAAAAUUGCAGAUUUGGCAACUCCAACUCUCCAAGGUCCUCCCCAAUACACUUUUCGCGAUUUCGUCGCAUUCGGACUUUCCGAAGCAUACCAAGUCGACGAUAAGUCAAUUUCAAACGAAGUUCAACUCUCGGAUUUCGAGAAUUCACUUCCUUACAUCCUCCCUGCCUUAAAAAGAGUUUCGUCCUCGAAACGAACUCAAUUCACUUCAAAUCCAACUCAAUGCAAUUCUAACUCACACCUCAACUUAACUUAUUGAGUAGUCGAGGGAUCCAAUGUGCUUUCACCAAAUCCACGUGGCUAUCCAAUACCCAAGUGUCUCCUAGAGACCACUUUGCUUUCUCCUCCAAUUGCCACGGCCAACACCAAUUUGUUCUCACAAAUAGUUCACACGAACACCCGUUCGUGAAUCCACACCUAAACUCGUCGAUAAAGCUACUCGCCUACCACCUGCGUCGAUUUCAUAGGUGAAUCAGAGGCCACCAACCCUACACAGGUCUACAGCUUAAUCUGUUUCAACAUAUGCACAUCUUUCGCUUACCAGCGUUGACUCAAUCACAACCGGGCGAAAUUCUCACUUGGAAAUUCGCUCACGCUCCAACCAGGAGCAACCAAGACCCCAAACCACGUAAAAUCUUCAAGUUGGAUCAUUACGCACUCGGUGUACCAUCAAUCUCGUACUCUAACACGUGGCAUUCCAUGCUUCCGGGUCUAAACUCGGACUACCACCAAAACCAAGAUCUCCGCCCUUCUCAAUUCGAGGUAAACAACGCACUAUCACAACUCGUGCAUACUAUGCCUUGGUCUCUACUAUGCUUAUAAAUAAUAGUAGCCAACGAUCACAAUUACAAGCGCAUGCCAUGCACCUACUUAACAUCAUGUAGAGGUACACACUUGCUUCUACUGAACCAUACCUGCCAUGACGUCGCGUGCCUCAAACUCGGCAGGUUCCUCAACUUGACAAAGUCGGUGGGGCUCCUCCAUAAUGGCCCAGAACUGCCGGAGCCGAUGCGACCGACGGGGCAUGCAAGGCCUUUCUCGGGCAAUCACGGGCUAUGUACCCCGCCUGGCCGCACUCAUAACAUCUCCCACGGCGAUGCUCACUGUAAUAUACCGAAAAUUCGAAAAAUAAAUAUCGAACUUUAGUCAAAUUGACCAAAGUGCGAGGACGGUACACUUCGAAAAGUCCGAAGGUGCUAAAAUGAUCGAAAGUGAGUUGUGGAAGGUUUUCGAGAGCUAAAGAAUCAAAUUCUGCAAAACUGCAGAUUUUCAGCUCUCGGGGACCGGUCCCUAAAGGGAGAGACCGGUCCCCGAACACGUAUGAAAUGAGACAGCCGAAAAAUCGGCUAAGUCCUGGAAGGAUAGCUCUCGGGAACCGGUCUCUGCCUGAGAGACCGGUCCCCCAGAGACCGGUCCCAUAAGGAGAGACCGGUUGCACUGCGCGCAGCAGCUCUGGCUGCGCAGGGUGGACGUUCGGGAACCGGUCCCUGCUCGGGGAGACCGGUCUCUGCCUGCGCGGAAUGCCCAGUUCGGGCAGUGUAUUAAAGUGAAAGUUGAGGGGUUUAUUUGCAUUUUGGCAACCCAUUGAGCUAUGUUAGGGGGGCUGAGGGGUUUUUCUCUCAUUUCUCACCCUAUCACACUCCCUUCUCUCCCUCUCUCUCUCUAGAAGACAAAGGAGAAGAAGAAGAAAGGAAGAAAAGAAGGAAAAGAAGGAGAAGAAAGUGAAGAAGAAGAUCAAGGAGCAAAGGAGCCUCAUCUUCUUCCUCUCUAGGGCAAGAAAGGAAAGCUUACAAGGUAAGCUUUGAUCUAUAUUGUAGAAAAACCCUAGAAUGAGUUUUGAAUAACCUAGAAAUGAGUUUUAAAGGGAUAUUUGAAGAGUUUUGAAGCUUUCUUUUGCUUCUUUAGAGAUCAAGUCCAUGGUUGAGCUCAAGGUGAGCUUCAACCCACCUCUAAUGGUGAAAUCCAAACUAGGGUUUGGAGUGAGUUAAGAAUGGUUCUUAUGGACUAAUUAGAGUGUAAUGAAGCUACUUUUGCUUCUCUUUGAGAUCAAACCCUAGGUUUGAUACAUGUGUUGGAGCUAGGGCACCAAAUUGGGGCUUUUGCUCAUGAGGAUUGCUAAGUGCAAUUGACCCUCUAAAAACCUAAUUGGGGGUAUUUCCGACGCGUUGGUGCGCUCGGAAUAGCAUUUCGAAAAGUGUAUGAAAGGUUAUGGGCAAAAUGGCCUGAUAAGGGUUCGUUUUGCCGCAGGUAAAGAACGAGGCAUCUAAAAAUCCUAAGAAAAUCAUCGGAGCACCUAAAGAGACCUACAAGGUGGGUGGUGCUUUUCAAACUCAUUGAAAUUCUCUCUAUGCCUAAUGUGUCAUUCUUUGAGCAUACGUUCUAUAUAUUGCUGCAUGCAUUUUAGGGUAAAGUAAUGAUGAAAUGUGAUGAUUGCAUGAUUGUGAGCACAACUUGCAUAAUGAGAUGGUUGAGAACCUAAUAAUGUAAAAACCCUAGAUGUAUGCAUGAGAGUUAAUGUGAGCACCCAAAGUGAGCAAAAGAACAGAGUGACACAAUGACAUAGAUCGAGUGGCAUCCGAUAAAGCUAAUGUGAAAUGACACUAGAGUUAGUGUGAUGUAAAGGACUAAAGUGAUGUAAAGAACACUAGAGCUAGUGUAUAGUCAAGAUUGAACUAUAAUCCUUUGAGUUAAGGAUAUGAUCAUACUUGCUGUUGAGUUCCGUGCUCGAGGGUGGUCGCUCCCCCUCGGGCGAUGCGCUCCGGAGUUAUGCAUCCGAGUUGGAGUAGACCCGUAAGGACGGUCCUAGCUGGUGAGUACCUGCGAUGAUGGACUUAACGUGAGGCAAGUUAAUGUGGCGAAACCCCUGGGUUAGCCUUAAUGAUUAAAGAGCAAAGAACAAAGAAUAAAGAACAAAGAGUAAAGUGAAAAGAACUAAAGAACAUGCAUAAUCUGCAUCUAUUAAUGUUGAGCAUACUCCUUGCUUUUGUUCAGGCAUAUUAGCAUCAUGUUAUAGAUUGGUUACCGUAUUUCAGCUUAUCCUUUCUAUUAUGCCUGAGUUAGUCCUAGUGGGAAAGUUGGUGAUGUUGAGGCCGAACCCACUGGGAACUUUGUUGUAGUUCUCACCCCACUAUUUCCACAGAGCCGGGACCGAGCGAGCCGGCGAGCGACCGCGGUAAAGGUAUCGCGCCUUAGUCAGAGGCCACCAAUGUUGGGUUACAUUUUGUAGCAAACACCCUUUUAUCAUCUUUUGUACUUGAUGAUUAGCGAUGUAAAGAAAAGAAUGUAAAGCUCCUUUGAGGUAAAUGUGAUGUAAGAAAGAAAUGAUGAAAUUAUGUAAGAACAGCAAAGAAUCUUAAAUAUAAGAAAUGGAUGCAAUGUAUAUAAUCUGAAAUGAAUCAUAUUACUUGUGAAUGUUUAGUUUUCCUUUCUUUCACUUAUGGCUAUUGCUUACCCUCGUGUAAGCCGUUUGUGUAUGUUUCCGCUAGUGCACUUCUUAUUGAAAUUGUACAUGUGAUGAGCCUUGGGCGGAUAGGGAAAACUCUGUCCGUUCGGCGUCUGUUUGACGUGCUCGGGUCGGGCCAAAUUGGCAUCGGUCCCGGGGCGUGACACUCACAGUGCGUCACUCGGUGGCCUCGACCACAGAAGAUCCGCCUUUCCACUUCACGGCCCUCGGACCGCUCUCGCAGGUACUUCGGGGGCUUCAUGGAACCCGAUUGACCUCCAGAGCCACCGCCCUGCCGCUUCAUUCCCUUGUCCUUCUCGAAUGCCUCGCGCUCUUCUCACUCGCAAGCAUUCCCGUGCUCAACCCACAAGGCACGGUCCAACACUUCCGCAAAGGUGCGAAACUUAAAAGCAUGCACCAUUCGGAAUACUCCAGGCCAAAGUCCCUGCACGAAGCACUCCGCCCGAUCUUGCUCGGUCCUCGCCAUGUCCGGGACACAAUUUAGGAGAUGAGUGAACUCCCGCUCAUAAUCCCAAACCGUGCGAUCGCCCUGCUUGAGCUUCCGUAAGUCCUCUCGCAUCUUCCGUUUCUCACUGUCCGGAAAGUACUCCGCAAAUAUCAACCUUCGAAACUCCUCCCAAUCGAUCGUGGGAAGGUCCGAGAUCGAUCCUGCUUCACUCUCCGCCACCACACUCUGGCCCGCUUAUCAAAACAAUGCGCGGCCAAAGGCACCUUAUCACGCUCCGUGGUGUAGAUGUCCUCGAACAGGGUUUCCAUUGCGGCCAACCAUUUCUCUACUGUCCAAGGAUCAACCACUUCACCGUCGAAUGUAGGAGGGUGGAACUUCAUGAACCUCGUGAGAGCCGUGUAACCACGCUCUCGCUCUGCCUCCUCAAUCGCCACAUCGAGUGAAACAGAACCCGACGCCGCAGGAGGAACACUCGCCGGCGGGGGUUGCGCCGCCACUGGCGCCACCGGAACACCCUCACCCUCAGCCGCAUUAGGAGCGCGAGCCGAGGGCGCGGGCAGGUCACGACCUCCAGCCACCAUCGCAGCCACCGCCGCCAUUUGUCGCUCCACUAACUCCUGGAGCCGCCCAAACUGACAAGCUUGUGUGGUCAUCUGCGCCCGUAACUCCUGCAUCUCACUAGGCCUAGCUGACCCUGGCACCUCGGGAGGUCCAGCCUGCUCUGGCACCUCAGGAGGCGGUGCCGGAACCGAUCUACGCACGUAGCGUCUCGGGGACAUUAGCUCCUGAAAUGCAACAAACCGGUUAAUUACUUAACCCAUUAACGUUAUCGCAAUUAUGAGACGAAAUAACUCAACAACACAAAUCAAGCGGAAGUUCGGAAGCGUGCUUAUCCUCGACUCUCGGCGUCGUGUUGUCGGCCGCAAACACAACCACCUUGAGCCAAGGACUAGUACCACUUGAAUCCAUCUCUAGCAACUACUAGAGUCUCCACAUCAACGUCGACCCAAUCGAUCAACUUCCGCCACCGUCAUAGGUUCACGUCGCACUCACGCACCUAUAUCCUUAAGGCUCACCAUCCUAAGGUCUCCUAGGUCGGUCCUAGACUCUCUCUUUGCUUGCUCUUAACUCCCUCUGAUACCACUUUAUCUGUCACGCCCCGAGCCCACUACCAAUUUGGUCCGGUUCAAGCGCGUCGAACAGACGCCGGACGGACAGCACCUCCCAUGUCCACCCAAGGCUAAACAACGCGACUGUGUACAACAAGUGCCCAGGAAAACAACUUGAAUACAUACAUAAUCGAGCAACACAGCGAGAGCACAACCAGUGC
rnacentral:lncRNA from 1 species